rnacentral:lncRNA from 1 species
UACCCAAAACCAAACCAAAACACCCCAAACCAACCCAAAGCACCCGAAAACUCCGCGAAACACAAAAAUCUAACCCAAAAUACCCAAAACCAACCUAAAACACCCAAAAACCAACCCAAAGCACCCAAAAACUCCCCGAAACAUGCAAAACUAACACGAAAUACCCAAAACCAACCUAAAACACCCAAAACCAACCAAAACCACCCAAAACCACCUAAAACCCAGCCAAAACCACCCAAAACCACCCAAAACCACCCAAAACCACUCAAAACCAUCCAAAAACCACCCAAAACCACCCAAAACCACCCAAAACACCCAAAAACACCCAAAACCACCCAAAACCACCCAAAACCCCCAAACUCACGCCAGCAGCUUGUCCCAUCACCGAGCUCCAUCCCGACCCCACAGACGCAGCCCAGUGCCCCAAACACACACCCCAAACCACCCCAAACCACCCAAAACCAACCCAAAACCACCCAAAACCACCCAAAACCACCCCAAACCACCCAAAACCACCCAAAACCACCCAAACUCACGCCGGCAGCCCGUCCCAUCACUGGGUUCCAUGCCGAUCCCACAGACGCAGCCCAGCGUCCCAAACACACACCCAAAAACACCCAAACCCACCCAAAACCAACCCAAAACCACCCAAAACCACCCGAAACCAANCCCACAGACGCAGCCCAGCGUCCCAAACACACACCCAAAAACACCCAAACCCACCCAAAACCAACCCAAAACCACCCAAAACCACCCGAAACCAACCCAAAACCACCCAAAACCACCCAAAAACCACCCAAACCCACCCAAAACCACCCAAAACCACCCAAAACCACCCAAACUCACGCCGACAGCCCGUCCCAUCACCGAGCUCCAUCCCGACCCCAUAGACGCAGCCCAGCGCCCCAAACACACACCCAAAACCAUCCAAAAACCACCCAAAAACACCCAAAACCACCCAAAAACCAACCCAAAACCAUCCAAAAACCACACAAAACCACUCAAAACCACCCAAAACCACCCAAAAACACCCAAAAACACCCAAAAACACCCAAAACUACCCAAACUCACGCCGGCAGCCCAUCCCAUCACCGGGUUCCAUGCCGAUCCCACAGACGCAGCCCAGCGCCCCAAACACACACCCAAAACCACCAAAAACACCCAAAACCACCAAAAACACCCAAAACCACCCAAAAACACCCAAAACCACCAAAACUCACACUGACAGCCCGUCCCAUCACCGAGCUCCAUCCCAUCAUCUCCCAGCUCCGUCCCAUCACCGGGUUCAAUGCCGAUCCCACAGACGCAGCCCAGUGCCCCAAACACACACCCAAAACCAUCCAAAAGACCCAAAACCACCCAAAAACCACCCAAAACACCCAAAACCACCCAAAACCACCCAAAAACACCCAAAACCACCAAAACUCACGCCGGCAGCUUGUCCCAUCACCGGUUUCCGUCCCAUCACCGAGCUCCAUCCCGACCCCACAGAUGCAGCCCAGCGCCCCAAACACACACCCCAAACCACCCAAAAACCACCCAAAAACACCCAAAAACACCCAAAACCACCCAAAACCACCCAAAACCACCCAAAAACCACCCAAACCCACCCAAAAACCACCCAAAACCACUCAAUAA